rnacentral:rRNA from 1 species
UACGUAGGGGGCUAGCGUUGUCCGGAAUCAUUGGGCGUAAAGCGCGUGUAGGCGGUUCGGUAAGUCCGCUGUGAAAGUCGGGGGCUCAACCCUCGAAUGCCGGUGGAUACUGUCGGACUAGAGUACGGAAGAGGCGAGUGGAAUUCCUGGUGUAGCGGUGAAAUGCGCAGAUAUCAGGAGGAACACCGAUUGCGAAGGCAGCUCGCUGGGAAGUUACUGACGCUGAGACGCGAAAGCGUGGGGAGCAAACAGG